rnacentral:lncRNA from 1 species
AGAAAUUUCCAAGAUCAAUCGGAAGGAUCAAACAUUGAGACGAACAGAGAUUGUUCUAUAGAGAUAGCAGCUCCUUGCAAUUUCCUUCGAUUAGUACCUGAGACAUGAAUAAUGAUGACAAUAAGUAAUAGUAAUUUUGAAUUAAAUUGCUCCAAGAAACUAUUUGAAAGUUGUAAUUAUCAUCUAAUGUUUCUUAGCCUUCAUAUUCAUUAAACUAAAUAAGAAAAACACAUAGAAAGGAAGGUGCAAAGGUCGCCAUCAAUUCACCUAAUCUUUCAUCAUUUUUAACUCCUUAGCAGCUGACCAAGCAUUGGGGAUCAUCAAUCCUAGUGUUGAAUCAAGUUCCAUUUUUUAUCCAUGUUGUCAAUCUUCCCGUGGAAGCAUCAAGUGAGGGAGGAUUGAUAAUAUCUUGGAAUUUCAUCUCUGCUACAUUUAGCUAUUCAAUGCUUUCAAAUUCAAUAGAUACAUCACAGGCUUGUAAAGUAGCCAUAAAUGCAAAGCUACCAUGAUGUUAACAGAAAAUUUUAGCAAUUAAAGGCAUUCACACAUGCACACAAAGCACAAAUUGUUAUUUCACUUCGUUUAAUUACACUUGAACUCAUAUUGACAAUUUAUCGAACACAUGGUGGGCACUUAAAAAUUCCCUUGCAUCACUUCCUGCUUUAUGUACAUCAACCCCAAUAAGCAAACAAGUUGACUUAAAUGCAAAGAAUAAAAAACAAAUAUUCACAAGAAGAAUAAUCAUACUAGAAUCGAAAUUAGAGAACCCUAAACUUGAGUGGUCAUGAAAUUGUUGAAUUAAAAUCCUUGCAACUACUGAAGAAUUAAGUAAAAUUAGGAUAAUAAAUCCUAAGCAAUGUACCACUUUUGGAAUAUCGGGGCACAAACCUUGUCUCUGCUUCAAAAAGACAGAGUGGAAAUUGGAGAUGAUGUCGAAGAAGAUGCUUGAGUCUCGGCAUGAGAUAAAGCUUGUCG